CGAGGGAGGGUUGGUGUCUAGCUUGCUAGACAUUCAACUCUACCGGCGAACGGGUGAGUAACACGUGGGCAAUCUGCCCUGAAGACGGGGACAACCUCGGGAAACCGGGGCUAAUACCCGAUAUCCUCCUCGGGGGGCAUCCUCUGGAGAGGAAAGGGUCCGCAAGGUCCGCUUCAGGAUGAGCCCGCGGCCUAUCAGCUAGUUGGUGGGGUCACGGCCUACCAAGGCGAUGACGGGUAGGUGGUCUGAGAGGACGAUCACCCACACUGGGACUGAGACACGGCCCAGACUCCUACGGGAGGCAGCAGUUGGGAAUAUUGGGCAAUGGGCGCAAGCCUGACCCAGCGACACCGCGUGGGGGACGAAGGCCUUCGGGUCGUAAACCCCUGUCAGGGGGGAAGAAGCCCGCCGCAAGGCGGGUGACGGUACCUCCAGAGGAAGCCCCGGCUAACUACAUGCCAGCAGCCGCGGUAAGACGUAGGGGGCGAGCGUUGUCCGGAUUUACUGGGCGUAAAGCGCGUGCAGGCGGUCCGUUAAGUCCCGUGUUAAAGCCUCCGGCCCAACCGGAGAACGCCGCGGGAGACUGGCGGGCUUGAGGGCGGUGGGGGUGAUGGAAUUCCCGGUGGAACCCGUCAUGCCUUGUAUCGCCGAGGAACGCACCAACUAGCUGAUAGGCCGCGGGCUCAUCCUGACGCUGACAUUGCAGACCCGUUCCACUCCAGAGGAUGCCCCCCCACGAGAAUAUCGGGCAUUAACGAUGCUUUCUCGAGGUUGUCCCCGUCUUCACGGCAUAUUGCCCACGUGUUACUCACUCAUUCGCCUGUAUAGUUGAAUGUCUAGGAAGAUACACACCUACCCUCCCUCGACAUGCAUGAUUGACGCACACCGCCAGCAUU
rnacentral:rRNA from 2 species